UCGGAAAUUCCCAAAUCGUCGACGAUCGCUUUUGGAACUCCGACGACGGCAACUGUUGGGGAUCGUCUCCUCCUCUUUGCGCUUGCUUCAGGGUAAGUGAAUCAUCUCUAUCAAUCCCCCUUGACUUUGGUUUGAUUGAACCCUGACUAACAAGACUCCGUGAUUCGAUUUGAGCAAAUCGGAGCUUCCGUCACGGAAUCUCGGAGAUGUGAGCAAGCAGGAGAAGAGUGUUGAGAAUAUAUCUACAAUUCUCUAUAUUAGUCUCUACAACUCUUACAAAAAUAUCUCAACUCCUAACUACCAAAUUAAUUAAGAUGUGAUAUGUUAAAAUAAUUAAAAUUUUACAACCACAAACUUAAGUUGGUUCCUACCUACUAUUUGUAUCAUGGCUAUUAUAAAUGGCCUCACUUGUAACAAAGUGGAGUAUGAGUUGAAGAAAUAAGAAAGAGGAAGUAGAGAGGCAUUUGUUAGUGGUCAGAGUAAAGGUCCAAGUGACGAAAUUGUAAUAUUUAUAAAGUUGAGUGAUCAAUUGUGUGAGUGAUCAAAAUACUAUCUUGUCGAUCCUAAAUUCCGCUACAUUUCCGCUUGCGCCCAACAACGAGGACACCCAGUCAGCACAUGCGGGGACGUGGUUGGCCCGACGAUGUGGAUAGUAGUCAUUGUGACGUCGGAAAAAGGAGACAUGAGCAUUCGUCCGUUAGAAAAUCGAGUUUCAAAGAUUCGUGGAGCCUCGUCGGAGUCUCGCCGAAAACUGGGGUCGAGGUCGACGGCGACUAGGUACUCGUCGGAGAAAAUGGGUGACCCCGCUGCAGCUUCAGAAACUAUACUGAUCGGACUAUAACUCAAGAAAGUUUGGUGAUCAUUCUGAAAGUCCGGAAAGUUAAGUAUCUGUUGUACAGAUUUUCUAAAUUCGGUAACUAAACUGUACUCUGUGGAAGUUGGGUGACUGAUCUGCAGUUAGCUGCUGUUCAUAACUGGUUCUGCAUUUUUGUUAAGCAGGUCAGCGGAAGGACGAUUUUGUCCCUGCAAAUUCAUAUUGUUGCAAAGGAGUAUUUGGAGCAUAACUCGACCAUUCGACCUUCAAAUGAGGCACCGUCAGAAGCUGUCGUUUUGUGGUAGCAAAAGGAAUCUUAUGAGAUGUCAGCUGAUGAACGAAUUUUACUCGUUAUCAAAAUAAACCGAUUAAUGAAUUAACCGAGUAGAAUCUCCUUAGGGUUUCUCUAAGUAUCUUACUCAAAAUUGUUAUUAAUACUAAUCAAAAUAUCAAUGAAUGUGGUUAAGGUGCCACGAGGAUCAAGCAAACAGUAAAAAAGAAAGAUGAAAAUUGCUUUAAAGUAAAUGAGAUGUAAGACACCACGAUAAGAGUUUAGACAAUCAAA
rnacentral:lncRNA from 1 species